GACGAACGCUGGCGGCGUGCUUAACACAUGCAAGUCGAACGGAAAGACCCUGCUUUUGUGGGGUGCUCGAGUGGCGAACGGGUGAGUAACACGUGAGUAACCUGCCCUUGACUUUGGGAUAACUUCAGGAAACUGGGGCUAAUACCGGAUAGGAGCUCCUGCUGCAUGGUGGGGGUUGGAAAGUUUCGGCGGUUGGGGAUGGACUCGCGGCUUAUCAGCUUGUUGGUGGGGUAGUGGCUUACCAAGGCUUUGACGGGUAGCCGGCCUGAGAGGGUGACCGGCCACAUUGGGACUGAGAUACGGCCCAGACUCCUACGGGAGGCAGCAGUGGGGAAUAUUGCACAAUGGGCGGAAGCCUGAUGCAGCAACGCCGCGUGCGGGAUGACGGCCUUCGGGUUGUAAACCGCUUUCGCCUGUGACGAAGCGUGAGUGACGGUAAUGGGUAAAGAGGCACCGGCUAACUACGUG
rnacentral:rRNA from 1 species